CGGGUGGUAAUGCCGGAUGCUCCAGCUUUUCGCAUGGUUUUUUGGGAAAGCUUUCGCGGUAUGGGAUGGGGUCGCGUCCUAUCAGCUUGACGGCGGGGUAACGGCCCACCGUGGCUUCGACGGGUAGCCGGCCUGAGAGGGCGACCGGCCACAUUGGGACUGAGAUACGGCCCAGACUCCUACGGGAGGCAGCAGUGGGGAAUAUUGCACAAUGGGCGCAAGCCUGAUGCAGCGACGCCGCGUGAGGGAUGGAGGCCUUCGGGUUGUAAACCUCUUUUAUCGGGGAGCAAGCGAGAGUGAGUUUACCCGUUGAAUAAGCACCGGCUAACUACGUGCCAGCAGCCGCGGUAAUACGUAGGGUGCAAGCGUUAUCCGGAAUUAUUGGGCGUAAAGGGCUCGUAGGCGGUUCGUCGCGUCCGGUGUGAAAGUCCAUCGCUUAACGGUGGAUCCGCGCCGGGUACGGGCGGGCUUGAGUGCGGUAGGGGAGACUGGAAUUCCCGGUGUAACGGUGGAAUGUGUAGAUAUC
rnacentral:rRNA from 1 species